rnacentral:rRNA from 1 species
GAGUUUGAUCCUGGCUCAGAACGAACGCUGGCGGCGUGGAUAAGACAUGCAAGUCGAACGGGAGAAUUGCUAGCUUGCUAAUAAUUCUCUAGUGGCGCACGGGUGAGUAACACGUGAGUAACCUGCCCCCGAGAGCGGGAUAGCCCUGGGAAACUGGGAUUAAUACCGCAUAGUAUCGAAAAGAUUAAAGCAGCAAUGCGCUUGGGGAUGGGCUCGCGGCCUAUUAGUUAGUUGGUGAGGUAACGGCUCACCAAGGCGAUGACGGGUAGCCGGUCUGAGAGGAUGUCCGGCCACACUGGAACUGAGACACGGUCCAGACACCUACGGGUGGCAGCAGUCGAGAAUCAUUCACAAUGGGGGAAACCCUGAUGGUGCGACGCCGCGUGGGGGAAUGAAGGUCUUCGGAUUGUAAACCCCUGUCAUGUGGGAGCAAAUUAAAAAGAUAGUACCACAAGAGGAAGAGACGGCUAACUCUGUGCCAGCAGCCGCCGU